UACGGAGGGUGCGAGCGUUGUCCGGAAUCACUGGGCGUAAAGGGCGCGUAGGCGGCCUGAUAAGUAGGGGGUGAAAUCCUGCGGCUUAACCGCAGGGCUGCCUUCUAAACUGUCAGGCUUGAGCACAGUAGAGGCAGGUGGAAUUCCCGGUGUAGCGGUGGAAUGCGUAGAGAUCGGGAAGAACAUCAGUGGCGAAGGCGGCCUGCUGGGCUGUUGCUGACGCUGAGGCGCGACGGCGUGGGGAGCAAACGGG
rnacentral:rRNA from 1 species